GACGAACGCUGGCGGCGUGCUUAACACAUGCAAGUCGAACGCUGAAGCCCUGGCUUUUGUUGGGUUGGAUGAGUGGCGAACGGGUGAGUAACACGUGAGUAACCUGCCCUCUUCUUUGGGAUAACGCCCGGAAACGGGUGCUAAUACUGGAUAUUCACUGAUCUUCGCAUGGGGGUUGGUGGAAAGGUUUGUUCUGGUGGGGGAUGGGCUCGCGGCCUAUCAGCUUGUUGGUGGGGUGAUGGCCUACCAAGGCUUUGACGGGUAGCCGGCCUGAGAGGGUGACCGGUCACAUUGGGACUGAGAUACGGCCCAGACUCCUACGGGAGGCAGCAGUGGGGAAUAUUGCACAAUGGGCGAAAGCCUGAUGCAGCGACGCCGCGUGAGGGAUGGAGGCCUUCGGGUUGUAAACCUCUUUCGCUCAUGGUCAAGCCGCAACUGUGGGUUGUGGUGAGGGUAGUGGGUAAAGAAGCGCCGGCUAACUACGU
rnacentral:rRNA from 1 species